UACGAUAAAUGUUUAUCUAUCCAAAAUCGUGACAUUUAUAAAUUCAUUUCAAUUGAUUAUAUCCAAUAAUAAUUCUAUUAAAUAAGAAGUGAAAUUUAUAACCAAGAAAAAUCCUUCAAAACAAAACACCGGCGUUCAGAGUCCGGCCGGGUUGUGUGAUGUUUUUGCAUAUGGUGCACACAUAUUCGUACUCGGGGUGCGUCUCCUUCCUCUGGUGGUACGAGAUCAGGUCCGCCUCGGCGUCACAGGUUCCGUGUACAAAUCUGCAAAACGCACCACGGUGUAAACACACGGUUCGUAAACAUAAAAAACAACAACAGCAGCAACAGCAGCACCGCUACCACCAAUGUUCGUAGCGUCGUGUCACCACACUAUAUUAUUGCGGAUAAUGACCAAGCGAUGGAAUACAUAAUUUGAGCGCAAAGAAAUUGAAUUGGAAUGUACGUAUUUAUCACGUUUGAGCAACGCUGUGUUGUAAAAUAGAUAAAAAUAAAUAAGCUUAUAAAUAAACGAAUAUUUAUGCCGUAAACCGUCAAGAUAAUCGCUGAUAUCGUUAUUAUUUCACACUGGAUACGUACGCUCCAUAAAAACUGUCGUGUUCUUAUGCGCCAGCCAGUUUUUGUGCGGUUUUAUUUUCGAAAUUUUGGUGCGUUCGAAUAAUAUGAACACAAUCCACAGGUUGUGUUGAAUUAUCUCAACGGGAGCCACAAACACGAAACAACUUACUUGCGACAAACAGUGCACUGCACCAUCUCCCUGUGGGCAUGCGCCCUGUACGCCCUGUGACAGAGCGGACAGGAGAAUCCCUUGUUCCGCUGCUGAUAGCAGGAAUCAC